UAAACAGGAAGUAUCCAGGGAGCCGUUAGCUGUUCGUUCCCCCUCCAAUGCCGGCCACCCAUCACCUUCCCCUCCGCCCGCCCCCGACCCGUGCCCUCACCACCACCACCACCUAAUCGGCUAAUCCGCCUUCGGCCUUCCUCUCCGUUUCUCCGCGCGCCCGGCCUCCUUCGCCGCCCGAUGGCCGCCACCCCGCCGUCGUCGCGGGACCCGUCGCCGCAGCCCCGGCGGCCGGCCUCCUCCGCGGGGCCCGCCACCACCAAGCGCGGGGGCCUCCUGCUCGGCCGCUACGAGCUGGGCCGCCUGCUCGGCCACGGCACCUUCGCCAAGGUCUACCACGCCCGCCACGCCGACACCGGCGAGACCGUCGCCAUCAAGGUGCUCGACAAGGAGAAGGCCCUCCGCAACGGCCUCGUCCCGCACAUCAAGCGCGAGAUCGCCAUCCUCCGCCGCGUGCGCCACCCAAACAUCGUCCGCCUCUUCGAGGUCAUGGCCACCAAGUCCAAGAUCUACUUCGUCAUGGAGUUCGUCCGCGGCGGGGAGCUCUUCGCGCGCGUCGCCAAGGGCCGCCUCAAGGAGGACACCGCGCGGAGGUACUUCCAGCAGCUCAUCUCCGCCGUCGGCUUCUGCCACGCCCGGGGCGUCUUCCACCGGGACCUCAAGCCCGAGAACCUCCUCGUCGACCAGCGCGGCGACCUCAAGGUCUCCGAUUUCGGCCUCUCGGCGGUCGCUGAUCAGUUCCACCCUGAUGGCCUCCUCCACACAUUCUGUGGCACGCCCUCCUACGUCGCCCCGGAGGUGCUCGCGCGCCGCGGCUAUGACGGCGCCAAGGCGGACAUAUGGUCCUGCGGUGUCAUCCUGUUCGUGCUCAUGGCUGGCUACCUUCCUUUCCAUGACCAGAACCUCAUGGCGAUGUACCGUAAGAUUUACAGGGGGGAAUUCCGGUGUCCGAGAUGGUUUUCCAAGGACCUUAGCAGUCUAUUGAAUCGGCUUCUUGACACGAACCCAGAGACCAGGAUCACCGUGGCUCAGAUAAUGGAGAGCAGGUGGUUUCAGAAAGGGUUCCGACCGGUCAGGUUCUACGUCGAGGAUGAUCAAGUCCACAGCUUGGAAGACAGUGAGAAUGAGGUGCCGGAACUGGGGCCUAGUGAGCCUCCACCUCCACCUCCCCUGCCGCCGCCACCACAGAAAGAGGACGACGGUGAUGAUUCUGGUUGGGAAUCAGACUCGUCUGUAGCAUCCUGCCCAGCCACAUUGUCAUCAGAGGAGAGGAGACGGCCUGUUGGAUCUCUCCCACGGCCGGUAAGUCUAAAUGCGUUUGAUAUCAUAUCGUUCUCAAGGGGAUUCAAUUUGUCGGGGUUGUUUGAGGAGCGAGGCAGUGAAGUGAGAUUUGUCUCAGCACAUCCCAUGCAAACGAUUGUAACAAAAUUGGAGGAGAUUGCGAAGGUGAAGAGCUUUGCAGUUCGACGGAAGGACUGGCGGGUGAGCCUGGAAGGCACGAGAGAAAGUGAAAAGGGUCCAUUGACAAUUGGGGCUGAAGUAUUUGAGCUCACACCAAGCCUUGUGGUGGUGGAGGUGAGGAUGAAAGCAGGGGACAGGGAAGAAUAUGAGGAUUUUUGUGAGAAGGAGUUGAAACCUGGGAUGCAGCACCUCGUGCACCAUACAGCCUCGGUUCCAGAUAUACCUUCUGACACUGAGUAGCUUAAAAGGUACUUGCAAAGGACUUGGUACUGCUGUCUCAGACUAAAAGCACCAGCAAAUGAAUAAACCACGAGCAUGUGCAAAGAAUAAACAAUUAUGCCUCAGAUUGGAGCGAAGAAUGUCCCCCUGAUUCAUGUCUAGUUACGAUUAUUGGACUAAGGUUAUUUCUGGAUAACAGCUGAAAUUAUGAUCCAGUAGUCGGUGAGGUCCAUAGUGUUUGGAGUUCUGUUCUGAACUUGCUCUUGUAAUGAGUUGAUUAAAUUUAGGCGAGUGAGAACAUUCUGUUUGAUCCUUUAAUAGGAAAUGAUUCUAUAGUUAGAACAACUCACACCUGUAGCUUGUAGGGUGAGUAAAUGAUGGUGGAAAAGCUGUGUGUAAACUGUGUACACAAUCGUGUACCAUAUUUCUAAUCAACUUUGUUUUCAGUUUUUGAUUGAAUGCAAAAAUUGUGCUAUUUCUUUCUUAA